rnacentral:rRNA from 1 species
UACGUAGGGGGCAAGCGUUGUCCGGAAUUAUUGGGCGUAAAGCGCGCGCAGGCGGUUCAUUAAGUCUGGUGUUUAAGGCUGGGGCUCAACCCCGGUUCGCACUGGAAACUGUUGGACUUGAGUGCAGAAGAGGAAAGUGGAAUUCCACGUGUAGCGGUGAAAUGCGUAGAGAUGUGGAGGAACACCAGUGGCGAAGGCGACUUCUGGGCUGUAACUGACGCUGAGGCGCGAAAGCCAGGGGAGGCAAACGGG